rnacentral:rRNA from 1 species
AUUGAACGCUGGCGGCAGGCCUAACACAUGCAAGUCGAACGGUAACAGGAAGAAGCUUGCUUCUUUGCUGACGAGUGGCGGACGGGUGAGUAAUGUCUGGGAAACUGCCUGAUGGAGGGGGAUAACUACUGGAAACGGUAGCUAAUACCGCAUAACGUCGCAAGACCAAAGAGGGGGACCUUCGGGCCUCUUGUCAUCGGAUGUGCCCCGAUGGGAUUAGCUAGUAGGUGGGGUAACGGCUCACCUAGGCGACGAGCCCUAGCUGGUCUGAGAGGAUGACCAGCCACACUGGAACUGAGACACGGUCCAGACUCCUACGGGAGGCAGCAGUGGAGAAUAUUGCACAAUGGGCGCAAGCCUGAUGCAGCCAUGCCGCGUGUAUGAAGAAGGCCUUCGGGUUGUAAAGUACUUUCAGCGGGGAGGAAGGGAGGAAAGUUAAUACCUUUUCUCAUUGACGUUACCCGCAGAAGAAGCACCGGCUAACUCCGUG